UGCGAGUCAACGUAGAAAUACGUGGCAUACGGCUCAGUAACACGUAGUCAACAUGCCCAGGGGACGUGGAUAACCUCGGGAAACUGAGGAUAAACCGCGAUAGGCCAUGAUUUCUGGAAUGGUUCAUGGCCGAAAUCUAUAUGGCCCCUGGAUUGGACUGCGGCCGAUCAGGCUGUUGGUGAGGUAAUGGCCCACCAAACCUGUAACCGGUACGGGCUCUGAGAGGAGGAGCCCGGAGAUGGGCACUGAGACAAGGGCCCAGGCCCUAUGGGGCGCAGCAGGCGCGAAAUCUCUGCAAUAGGCGAAAGCUUGACAGGGUUACUCUGAGUGGUUCCCGUUAAGGGGAUCUUUUGGCACCUUUAAAAAUGGUGCAGAAUAAGGGGUGGGCAAGUCUGGUGUCAGCCGCCGCGGUAAUACCAGCACCCCGAGUGGUCGGGACGAUUAUUGGGCCUAAAGCAUCCGUAGCCGGUACUGCAAGUCUUCCGUUAAAUCCACCUGCUUAACAGUUGGGCUGCGGGGGAUACUACAGCGCUAGGAGGCGGGAGAGGCAAGCGGUACUCAAUGGGUAGGGGUAAAAUCCGCUGAUCCAUUGAAGACCACCAGUGGCGAAGGCGGCUUGCCAGAACGCGCUCGACGGUGAGGGAUGAAAGCUGGGGGAGCAAACCGGAUUAGAUACCCGGGUAGUCCCAGCUGUAAACGAUGCAGACUCGGUGAUGGGCUGGCCUUGUGCCAGCCCAGUGCCGCAGGGAAGCCGUUAAGUCUGCCGCCUGGGGAGUACGGUCGCAAGACUGAAACUUAAAGGAAUUGGCGGGGG
rnacentral:rRNA from 1 species